GACAGAGGGUGCGAACGUUGCUCGGAAUUACUGGGCGUAAAGCGCGUGUAGGCGGGUGAUCAAGUCAGGUGUGAAAUCCCCAGGCUCAACCUGGGAACUGCACUUGAAACUGGUCGCCUUGAGUGUUGGAGAGGGAAGCGGAAUUCCUGGUGUAGCGGUGAAAUGCGCAGAUAUCAGGAGGAACACCGGUGGCGAAGGCGGAUCUCUGGGCCUUACCUGACGCUCAGGCGCGAAAGCUAGGGGAGCGAACAGG
rnacentral:rRNA from 1 species